rnacentral:rRNA from 1 species
AGAGUUUGAUCCUGGCUCAGGACGAACGCUGGCGGCGCGCCUAACACAUGCAAGUCGAACGGAGAUGAUAAAAGCUUGCUUUGAUCAUCUUAGUGGCGGACGGGUGAGUAACACGUGAGCAACCUGCCUUUCAGAGGGGGAUAACGUUUGGAAACGAACGCUAAUACCGCAUAACGUAUACGGAUGGCAUCGUCUGUAUACCAAAGGAGCAAUCCGCUGAAAGAUGGGCUCGCGUCCGAUUAGCUAGAUGGUGAGGUAACGGCCCACCAUGGCGACGAUCGGUAGCCGGACUGAGAGGUUGACCGGCCACAUUGGGACUGAGACACGGCCCAGACUCCUACGGGAGGCAGCAGUGAGGGAUAUUGGGCAAUGGGGGAAACCCUGACCCAGCGACGCCGCGUGAGGGAAGACGGUCUUCGGAUUGUAAACCUCUGUCUUUGGGGACGAAAAAGGACGGUACCCAAGGAGGAAGCUCCGGCUAACUACGUGCCAGCAGCCGCGGUAAUACGUAGGGAGCGAGCGUUGUCCGGAAUUACUGGGUGUAAAGGGAGCGUAGGCGGGAAGACAAGUUGGAUGUGAAAACUGUGGGCUCAACCGACAGACUGCAUUCAAAACUGUUUUUCUUGAGUGAAGUAGAGGCAAGCGGAAUUCCUAGUGUAGCGGUGAAAUGCGUAGAUAUUAGGAGGAACACCAGUGGCGAAGGCGGCUUGCUGGGCUUUUACUGACGCUGAGGCUCGAAAGUGUGGGGAGCAAACAGGAUUAGAUACCCUGGUAGUCCACACCGUAAACGAUGAUUACUAGGUGUGGGGGCGUCAAGCUUCCGUGCCGGAGUUAACACAAUAAGUAAUCCACCUGGGGAGUACGGCCGCAAGGUUGAAACUCAAAGGAAUUGACGGGGGCCCGCACAAGCAGUGGAGUAUGUGGUUUAAUUCGAAGCAACGCGAAGAACCUUACCAGGUCUUGACAUCGUGCGCAUAGUCUAGAGAUAGAUGAAGUCUUUCGGGACGCAUAGACAGGUGGUGCAUGGUUGUCGUCAGCUCGUGUCGUGAGAUGUUGGGUUAAGUCCCGCAACGAGCGCAACCCUUACGAUUAGUUGCUACGCAAGAGCACUCUAAUAGGACUGCCGUCGACAAAACGGAGGAAGGUGGGGAUGACGUCAAAUCAUCAUGCCCCUUAUGACCUGGGCCACACACGUACUACAAUGGCAAUGACAGAGGGAAGCAAGAUAGCGAUAUGGAGCAAACCCCUAAACAUUGUCCCAGUUCGGAUUGCAGGCUGCAACCCGCCUGCAUGAAGCCGGAAUUGCUAGUAAUCGCGGAUCAGCAUGCCGCGGUGAAUACGUUCCCGGGCCUUGUACACACCGCCCGUCACACCAUGGGAGUCGGUAACACCCGAAGCCAAUAGUCUAACCGCAAGGAGGACGUUGUCGAAGGUGGGAUUGAUGACUGGGGUGAAGUCGUAACAAGGUA